GACGAACGCUGGCGGCGUGCCUAACACAUGCAAGUCGAACGGAGUGUUUAUUUAUAAACACUUAGUGGCGAACGGGUGAGUAACGCGUAGACAACCUACCAUCUAGCUGGGGACAACACCGCGAAAGUGGUGCUAAUACCGAAUGUUGUCAUGUUGUUGCAUAAUGAUAUUACUAAAGGUGGCAUCCAUAUAUAAGCUACCGCUAGAAGAUGGUCUCGCGGCUGAUUAGCUAGUUGGUGAGAUAACAGCUCACCAAGGCAAUGAUCAGUAGCCGGUCUGAGAGGAUGAACGGCCACACUGGGACUGAGACACGGCCCAGACUCCUACGGGAGGCAGCAGAGGGGAAUCUUCCGCAAUGGACGAAAGUCUGACGGAGCAACGCCGCGUGAGUGAAGAAGGUUUUCGGAUCGUAAAGCUCUGUCUUCAAGGACGAAUGUAGAUAUUGUGAAUAAUGAUAUUUAAUGACGGUACUUGAGGAGGAAGCCACGGCUAACUACGUGCCAGCCGCCGCAGAAA
rnacentral:rRNA from 1 species